UACGUAGGGUGCAAGCGUUGUCCGGAAUUAUUGGGCGUAAAGAGCUCGUAGGCGGUUCGUCGCGUCGGCUGUGAAAUCCCGAGGCUCAACCUCGGGUCUGCAGUCGAUACGGGCGGACUGGAGUUCGGCAGGGGAGACUGGAAUUCCUGGUGUAGCGGUGAAAUGCACAGAUAUCAGGAGGAACACCGGUGGCGAAGGCGGGUCUCUGGGCCGAUACUGGCGCUGAGGAGCGAAAGCGUGGGGAGCGAACAGG
rnacentral:rRNA from 1 species